GACGAACGCUGGCGGCGUGCUUAACACAUGCAAGUCGAACGGAAAGGCCCUGCUUUUGUGGGGUGCUCGAGUGGCGAACGGGUGAGUAACACGUGAGUAACCUGCCCUUGACUUUGGGAUAACUUCAGGAAACUGGGGCUAAUCCCGGAUAGGAGCUCCUUCUGCAUGGUGGGGGUUGGAAAGUUUCGUCGGUUGGGGAUGGACUCGCGGCUUAUCAGCUUGUUGGUGGGUUAGUGGCUUACCAAGGCUUUGACGGGUAGCCGGCCUGAGAGGGUGACCGGCCACAUUGGGACUGAGAUACGGCCCAGACUCCUACGGGAGGCAGAAGGGGGGAAUAUGGAACAAGGGGGGGAAGCCUGAGGCAGCAAGGCCGGGGGCGGGAUGACGGCCUUCGGGUUGUAAACCGCUUUCGCCGGUGACGAAGCGUGAGUGACGGUAAUGGGUAAAGAAGCACCGGCUAACUACGUG
rnacentral:rRNA from 1 species